GACGAACGCUGGCGGCGUGCUUAACACAUGCAAGUCGAACGGAAAGGCCCUGCUUUUGUGGGGUGCUCGAGUGGCGAACGGGUGAGUAACACGUGAGUAACCUGCCCUUGACUUUGGGAUAACUUCAGGAAACUGGGGCUAAUACCGGAUAGGAGCUCCUGCUGCAUGGUGGGGGUUGGAAAGUUUCGGCGGUUGGGGAUGGACUCGCGGCUUAUCAGCUUGUUGGUGGGGUAGUGGCUUACCAAGGCUUUGACGGGUAGCCGGCCUGAGAGGGUGACCGGCCACAAGGGGACUGAGAUACGGCCCAGACUCCUACGGGAGGCAGCAGUGGGGAAUAUUGCACAAUGGGCGGAAGCCUGAUGCAGCAACGCCGCGUGCGGGAUGACGGCCUUCGGGUUGUAAACCGCUUUCGCCUGUGACGAAGCGUGAGUGACGGUAAUGGGUAAAGAAGCACCGGCUAACUACGUG
rnacentral:rRNA from 1 species